AUCCCGUGGCUGGGCCAUGCCUCCGCAGUGGAGAAGCCACUAAGAAGCAGCACCUGUGGUAUGUUCGAGGCCGCCUGACAAAGUGAGAGACGCCUCAGAACAGUCUCGGCCACCCCGGCCCCAGACGCUUCCCACUGGCUGUUGGAGGGCGGGCCAGGCCCUGUGCUCACCGACUCUUCCUCUGGAUAAGCUGGAUGUCGCACUGUCUCUAGUUCUUGUACAGCAAAAUAAGGUGCUUGGAAAAACUACAUGUCCCCUGCACGCUUCACCGCCUCCUUAAGGACACAAGUCAGAAAACCUAAGGUUCAAGCCGCGCAUUCAUGCUUAGGUGAAAGGACGACUGAGUCGUGUGUGCUGGAAACCUAGGUCACAUCUGGUGAUCCUAUGGCAGAAGGCCUGGGGCCAGGAGGGGCCUGCACCAAUGUCCUGUCAGCUCCUCCCGGAACCGUCUUUCCACCGGCUGUUGACUGCAGACUCCUCGAGGCUCCGGGGUGACUGCCCGCGCCUCCUGCCCAAGAGCCCGCCUCGGCCAGCUCCAGCAGCAGUGAUGUUACACCUCAGUGUAGUCGAGACAGGGCGUAAAUUAUUGUUUGCAUUAAGAAGAAUCAUGUUCCCUGUGUACAUUUUUAAAAAAAGUCUGAAUUGUAUGGGAAUAAAACUUGUUUGAAAAUUUGGAAUAGUGCUGCUGCCAGCUUAUUUUUCUGGUACUUGUAUUUUCACAUGUUAAAUGAUCUUUAUAUAUGUUGGAUUAACAAAUAUUUUGAGUUUCCUGAGGGUGGGGAGGGGAACAUUAAUGGUAUUGAAAUGUGUUAGUAGUCUGGCUGUGUGCCCAAAAUUCUGUUUCGCAGCAAAAGUGGAGAACUGUAUGUAAAGAAAGUAUAACAGUUAUUUCUUUGUAUUUUAGGGGCUUUAACCAGGACAUCCUCUAGUUGGCGUUAGGAAUGUUUGCUUAAUUUGCAGACUUUUUUUUUUUUAACACAUCGUGGGUUUUUUGAGGCUCCAACCUGAUUAGUGCAUGGUCAGCCGUCAACAGAGGCUCAGCAUCUCUGACUGAGGUGUUCUCCGUCUGGCUUUGUUUUUUAAAAUCAUGUAUUUGCUACAAAGUAUUGUACUUGUCUCAGUGGGAAUGGUGUACAAAACUGAAAAGGCCUUACGUGAUAUGUAUCAUAGUUAAUAAAUCAAUCUUGUAAAAAACCAAA
ensembl:lncRNA